GCCAUCUUGUCAAUCUGUUCAUCGACGACAUCGAUUCGUUGGCAAUUCAGUUUGUUGAUUAGUUUUCAGAAUAGUUUUUCAACAUGGAAAAGUCGUUUAUUUAUCUUGUACUUCUAUUAUUUGUAAACUGUAAUUUGAGUUUUGUGUCCAGCGAACAUGAAACACUUGUGCUUUUGGAUAAUUUGGCAAUUAAAGAAACGCAUUCAAUGUUUUUCAAGUCAUUGAAAGAUCGAGGCUACGCGUUGACCUUUAAAUCAGCUGAUGACUCCACAUUGAUUUUGUCAAAAUACGGCGAAUAUUUGUAUGAGAAUUUGAUCAUUUUUGCGCCAUCCGUCGAGGAAUUUGGAGGCUCUCUGAGCACAGAAUCGAUCACUGAUUUCAUUGACAAUGGAGGUAACGUUCUGGUAGCUGGAAGUUCCCAAUCGCAGGAUAUCCUGAGGGAACUGGCAACAGAAUGCGGUUUUGAAAUGGACGAAGAAGGAGCCUCAGUUAUUGAUCAUCUCAACUACGAUAUUAGCGAUAGUGGCAAGCACACACUGAUCGUAGCAGACGCAGCCAACCUGAUAGAUGCGCCCGUGAUUGUCGGCGAGCGAAGAGGGGUAGCACCGCUCCUGUACAAGGGAACAGGACUGAUAGCUGACUCUGACAAUCCUCUAGUUCUCAGACUGCUCUCUGCUCACUCAUCUGCCUACUCCUAUGUACCUGAUAGGCCUAUCAAAGAGUAUCCUCACGCAGUUGGCAAAAACACUCUGCUAAUGGCCGCCCUUCAGGCGAGGAACAAUGCCAGGGUGGUCUUCACCGGAUCGCUCUACUUUUUCUCCGAUGAAGCCUUCACGUCUCCCGUACAAAAAGCACAGAGCUCUCAAAAGUGGGUGACGUCUGGAAAUCAGGUGGUUUCCGAAGCACUGACACAGUGGGUGUUCAAGGAGGCCGGAGUAAUCAGGGUCAAAUCUGUGGCUCACAAGCGACUCAACGAGAAGGUGCCUCCACCGGCCUACACCAUUAUGGAUACUGUGGUAUUCUCACUAGAACUGGAGCGCAAGUCCGGCGCCUCAUGGGUGCCUCACGACGUGAACGACCUACAGCUAGAGUUUGUGCGCAUCGAUCCGUUUGUGCGGCGCACAUUGACGCAGAAAGGCCGAGGCAAAUACGAAACCGUUUUCCGUAUUCCCGACGUUUAUGGCGUUUACAAGCUGAAGGUUGACUAUAACCGUGUGGGUUAUACCCAUGUGUAUAGCAGCACACAGGUGUCGGUCAGGCCGCUGGAACAUACGCAGUACGAGAGAUUCAUUGCCAGCGCGUAUCCCUACUAUGCCAGUGCGUUGAGUAUGAUGGCCGGUGUGUUUCUGUUUAGUUUGGUGUUUUUGCAUUAUAAGGAGGAGCCUGUGAAGGGGAAAGUUGAGUAGGUUAGGUUAGGUCGAGGUUUGUUAGGUUAGGUCGAAGUAUGUUAGGUUAGGUUAAGUGAGAUUGUGUGUGGAUUGGUAAGAGGUAAUAUAGAAGAAGAUGAAGAUUGAGGAGGAAGAAGAAGAAUUAGAUGGAUGAGGAGGAAGAAGAAGAUGGAGAAGAAGAAAGAGCUUGUUAAGGGGAAAGUUGAGUAGGUUAGGUUAGGUCGAAGUUUGUUAGGUUAGGUUAAGUCAGAUUGUGUGUGGAAUGGAAAUAGGUAAUGUGGAAGAAAAAGAAGUAGAUGGAGGAGUAGGAAGAGAAGAAGAAGAAGAAGAAGUAGGUGGAUUGGCCGGUGUGUUUCUGUUUAGUUUGGUGUUUUUGCAUUAUAAGGAGGAGCCUGUCAAGGGGAAAGUUGAGUAGGUUAGGUUAGGUCGAGGUUUGUUAGGUUAGGUUAAGUCAGAUUGUGUGUGUGGAUUGGAUGGAUUGGUAAGAGGUAAUAUAGAAGAAGAUGAAGAUUGAGGAGGAAGAAGAAGGAGUAGAUGGACGAGGAGGAAGAAGAAGAAGGAGAAGAAGAAGAAGAUGGAGAAGAAAAAGAAGAAGAUGAGGAGAAGCAGAAGAAGAAGAUGGAGGAUGCUAAGGAGGAGACUGAGAAGGUUGAGUAUCUGUUAGACCUUUGGAACACACGCAGUACAAGAGAUUUAUAGCAUAUAGAAGACAUAGCACAAGAAGAUAUGCCAUGGUUUGUAGAAUUCAUUCAAAGUUUGCAAGUUUUGUAUCAAAAUUUGAUACAAACAAUUAAUAAUUUAAUUAUGGUGUUGUGUAACAAGUUUAGAUGAUACUGUAUCAUAUUUUUGUGUUAUGCAAUGGUAGAGGACCGUUAUGUUGCAAAUGUUUGUGUUAACUGAAGCCGAUAGUCCUAGUAGUUGUUUUUGGUGAAGCUAUGUGACGCUGGUAGUCUCUAAUACUGUGCCCUUCUUACACUC